rnacentral:rRNA from 1 species
GGACUACCAGGGUUUCUAAUCCUGUUUGCUCCCCACGCUGUCGCGCAUCAGCGUCAGCCACACCCCAGCGAGCCGCCUUCGCCACCGGUGUUCUUCCGGAUCUCUACGCAUUCCACCGCUACACCCGGAAUUCCACUCGCCUCUAGUGUGCUCCAGCCAAACAGUCGGUCCGGCAGACCCGGGGUUGAGCCCCGGGCUUUCACCGCCCCCUUAUUCGGCCGCCUACGCGCCCUUUACGCCCAGUGAUUCCGGACAACGCUCGCACCCUCCGUAUUACCGCGGCGGCUGGCAC